AGCCCACCACUGAUAACCCUGAACUUAGGCUAGUAUGUUACCUGUACAAGGUACCUCUUUUGAGCUGAGUUUGCCCCCCUGUGACUUCAAGGACAUAUCCCUGCAGGGUUUUUUUUUCCUUACAAAAGUGUAAUAAUUUUUUGUGGCAUUGAUUUCCAAAUCAAACAUCUUCAGUCUUUCAUCAGGUUUUUGUGGGGCUUUGUUUAUGGUCUCCACACUACAAUAUUUUGAUUAUUGGUCUUCUUUAGACACACUCUGGUUUUUUCAGUGUAUCACAAUGUAUUUUUCUAACAGAAAGGAUAAAGACACUUUUAUUCCAAAGGAUAGUAAAAACAAAGGAACCCACCCUAAGCUCUUCUGACUCUAGGUCUCAUAUGUUGCAGUAGGAAUAUUUGAAAAUCUUAUGUUUUUCAAACCAUGGUCCAAAACAAUGCUGUUAUUCUUCUGAAAUUCAUUAUGUAUUUUCCUAAAAAAUAUUUAUCUAAAAGUUGAUAAGUGUGCCUAAGUAAAAUAAACACAUUAAUCAGAAGUUCCAA